UACGGGGGGUGCGAGCGUUGUCCGGAAUCAUUGGGCGUAAAGGGCGCGUAGGUGGCCCGGUCAGUUCGUGGUGAAAGCGCGGGGCUCAACCCUGCGUCGGCCAUGAAUACUGCCGCGGCUGGAGCACUGUAGAGGCAGGCGGAAUUCCGGGUGUAGCGGUGGAAUGCAUAGAGAUCCGGAAGAACACCGGUGGCGAAGGCGGCCUGACUGG
rnacentral:rRNA from 1 species